UACGUAGGGUGCGAGCGUUGUCCGGAAUUACUGGGCGUAAAGAGCUCGUAGGCGGUUUGUCGCGUUGUUCGUGAAAUCUCACGGCUUAACUGUGAGCGUGCGGUCGAUACGGGCAGACUAGAGUACUGCAGGGGAGACUGGAAUUCCUGGUGUAGCGGUGGAAUGCGCAGAUAUCAGGAGGAACACCGGUGGCGAAGGCGGGUCUCUGGGCAGUAACUGACGCUGAGGAGCGAAAGCGUGGGGAGCGAACAGG
rnacentral:rRNA from 1 species